GUCCAAUUGGUUCAUUUUUUUUUUUUUAAUAGAUUUGGUUUGGUUGUUAGGAUCAAAAAGACUGAAAUGACUGAAUCAAUAAAAUUUAUUCAUACAUAGUUUUGUCACUUAAUAUUUAUGAGGCUGCCAUUUUAUGUCCACCCAUGAGGUCAUGACCCUUUUGGCUUCAGAUUUUCCCCAUAAAAUCCCUAACCUUAAUGCCCCUUGUGGCUUUUGCAUGCAUUAUUUUCUCCUCUCGCUACUGCCCUCCCUCUUCUAUUCGCUCUCUUUCUCCAUUUCUCUUCUACCUUCAGGCCUUCACUUCCCUAAAUCACCAAUUCAACUUGAGAAAACCCUAGCUUCUCUUGCAUCACGUCCUAGAUUUCCCAAAAUGUUACCUUCACCCCACAGAGACCAAAAUGUUGCCUUCACCUCAAUUUAUUUUCUUGUUUAUAAGAUGGCUGCCAUGGAGAGCUUGAUUGGCCUUGUCAACAACAGAACAGAGAGCAUGUGCUAUCCUAGACGACUAUGGUGGCGAUAUUGCCUCCUCUUCUUUGCCUACCCUUUGGGAGUCUCUUCCUUCUGUUGUCAUCGGCAGCAGCCAGGGCCUCGUUCUCUCUGUGUAUAAUGUUGUGAUUUAUUUUUUUUUUUUAACUCAUUGUAGUGAUUGAAGUGCACUAAUAGAAUUAUUGCAACUUUUUUUUUUUUUUUUUUUU
rnacentral:misc_RNA from 1 species